rnacentral:rRNA from 1 species
GAUGAACGCUAGCGGGAGGCCUAACACAUGCAAGCCGAGCGGUAUUGUUUCUUCGGAAAUGAGAGAGCGGCGUACGGGUGCGUAACACGUGUGCAACCUGCCUUUAUCUGGGGGAUAGCCUUUCGAAAGGAAGAUUAAUACUCCAUAACAUAUUGAACGGCAUCGUUUAAUAUUGAAAGCUCCGGCGGAUAGAGAUGGGCACGCGCAAGAUUAGCUAGUUGGUGAGGUAACGGCUCACCAAGGCGAUGAUCUUUAGGGGGCCUGAGAGGUGAUCCCCCACACUGGUACUGAGACACGGACCAGACUCCUACGGGAGGCAGCAGUGAGGAAUAUUGGUCAAUGGGUGCAAGCCUGAACCAGCCAUCCCGCGUGAAGGACGACUGCCCUAUGGGUUGUAAACUUCUUUUGUAUAGGGAUAAACCUACCCUCGAGAGGGUAGCUGAAGGUACUAUACGAAUAAGCACCGGCUAACUCCGUGCCAGCAGCCGCGGUAAGAC